UCCAAAUUUCUGAUACAGGACAAUUCUUGG
rnacentral:piRNA from 1 species